AUUGAACGCUGGCGGCAGGCCUAACACAUGCAAGUCGAACGAGUGGCGGACGGGUGAGUAAUGUCUGGGAAACUGCCUGAUGGAGGGGGAUACCUACUGGAAACGGUAGCUAAUACCGCAUACCAUCAGAUGUGCCCAGAUGGGACUAGCUUGUUGGUGGGGUAACGGCGCACCAAGGCGACGAUCCCUAGCUGGUCUGCGAGGAUGACCAGCCCGACGGGAACUAGGACACGGUCCAGACUCCGACGGUAGGCAGCAGUGGGGAAUAUGGCGCAAUGGGCGCAAGCCUGAUGCAGCCAUGCCGCGUGUAUGAAGAAGGCCUUCGGGGUGUAAAGUACGUUCAGCGGGGAGGCGUUACCCGCAGAAGAAGCACCGGCUAACUCCGUGCCAGCAGCCGCGGUAAUUC
rnacentral:rRNA from 1 species